GUACGAGGUCCCCUCCAACCAACCACAAAGUCAUCUUUACUAACCAGUACUCCCAUCUCUACACUAACAUCUGAAAAUUUAAAGGGCAUGGUAGUUCUUCUCCGCUGAUUCAGACGAUAGGGAUUCUCAGGUUCCAAACUAACGACCAAAGGCUUCUUUCCUAAUAUGAGCUCAUUACCCCCAGCAGCAGCCAGAGCACCCAAACUAACAAUCAAAGGCUUCUUUCCUAAUAUGAGCCCAUUACCCCCAGCAGCAGCCAGAGCAUACUUUGCGGACUCUGAAGAUGCAAAAUGAACGAAUGCAUGAGGUACCACUUUUUCGUAAUCUUUCAUUCUAUGCACCCUCGCUGCAUCAACAUCAUAAGUUGGGUAAGAGUCAGGAGGGGUGGCUGAAAUCUUUAAUCUACAUCUCCAUACUUGCCCAACUUGUUCUUCCAGAUAUUCUGAAAGC
rnacentral:lncRNA from 1 species